UACGUAGGGUGCAAGCGUUGUCCGGAAUUAUUGGGCGUAAAGAGCUCGUAGGCGGUUCGUCGCGUCGGCUGUGAAAUCCCGAGGCUCAACCUCGGGUCUGCAGUCGAUACGGGCGGACUGGAGUUCGGCAGGGGAGACUGGAAUUCCUGGUGUAGCGGUGGAAUGCGCAGAUAUCAGGAGGAACACCGGUGGCGAAGGCGGGUCUCUGGGCCGUAACUGACGCUGAGGAGCGAAAGCAUGGGGAGCGAACAGG
rnacentral:rRNA from 1 species